GCGAAUGUGAUGGUGUCGGUUGCGACUCAGAAGGCGUCUAAUCCGGUUCAUACUGUGGUGGAUAAGUUGAGUUUGCCGGGGUUGGAGAUGAUUACGAAGAAAUUGGAGCUGCCUGUUAAGCUUGUCUUUCCAAGGGAUUUGAUGGGUGGGAUGUUACCUGGGAGUAGCUCUAUGGAUUAUAUGAUGCUGGGGCUUGGAGAUAUGGCUAUUCCUUCUAUGCUUCUAGCUCUUGUACUUACAUUCGAUCAUCAAAAGCAGAAAGAGGCCAGCCCGUCAGAUAAAUCUUCUCCAAGAGGUUACAGAUACAUAUGGUAUGCACUUUCCGGUUAUGCAAUUGGACUGGUAACUGCACUGGGUACUGGGAUCUUAUAUCAAGCUCCUCAACCUGCUCUUCUUUAUCUGGUACCAUCAACGUUGGGGCCUGUUAUUGUCCUCUCGUGGAUCAAACAGGAGCUAAAAGAGCUAUGGGAAGGAGCCAGUCCGAUCUCAAACGAGAAGGUGGAGUCAAUGGAGGUCUGAUCCCUUUGCCAGCUGCAG
rnacentral:misc_RNA from 1 species